rnacentral:rRNA from 1 species
GACGAACGCUGGCGGCGUGCUUAACACAUGCCAGUCGAACGGAAAGGCCCCUUUGGGGGUACUCGAGUGGCGAACGGGUGAGUAACACGUGAGUAACCUGCCCUUGACUUCGGGAUAACUUCAGGAAACUGGGGCUAAUACCGGAUAGGAAUCCUUGCUGCAUGGUGGGGGUUGGAAAGCUUCGGCGGUUUUGGAUGGACUCGCGGCUUAUCAGCUUGUUGGUGGGGUAGUGGCUUACCAAGGCUUUGACGGGUAGCCGGCCUGAGAGGGCGACCGGCCACAUUGGGACUGAGAUACGGCCCAGACUCCUACGGGAGGCAGCAGUGGGGAAUAUUGCACAAUGGGCGGAAGCCUGAUGCAGCAACGCCGCGUGCGGGAUGACGGCCUUCGGUUUGUAAACCGCUUUCAGCAGGGGCGAAGCUUGUGGUGACGGUACCUGCAGAAGAAGCACCGGCUAACUACGUG